rnacentral:lncRNA from 1 species
UACUAAACACCUUUUAGUUCUAUCGUAAUAAUAGGACAAGUAAAUUUGAGAAAUGAAGAAGUAAAAUCUGACCUAAAAUCCCAACUCAUAGCUUCGAGAGAACACAAGGACGUUUGACUACUAUCGGAAAAGGCAGGACUCGACUACUAUUGACCACCGUAUUGGAGUUUAAGAGAGAUUGAGAAAGCUGAGCAUCUCGAGACGGCAUUGACAGAAAAUGAUGGCGCUCAUUCUGAACGGGAACACGCAAUUAGGGAGGCAGAUCGAUCCAUCAGCGAUCCAGGCUUCUCUUUUUCCAGAAGGUGACGAAAGAACUCGUAAGAUUUGCCGUCGCCGCCAGUACAGAGGGUUGCAGUAAACGGAAUGAGAGGCUUCUCUUUCUCCAGAAGGUGACAAAGGCGGCUUUAAAGACUAAAAGUG